rnacentral:tRNA from 1 species
UCCCUGGUGGCUCAGCUGGUAAAGAAUCUGCCUGCAAUGCAGGAGAUCUGGGUUCGAUCCCUAGGUUGGGAA